CUUACAGGAAUAAAAGAUACAAUUAUUACAGACUGCAGGAAAUCUGAAGUAUGGAAGAUAUUGAUUCUAGACUCCUUCACCACCAAACUGCUCUCUUCAUGCUGCAAAAUGUCCGAUCUGAUGUCCGAGAAAAUAACAAUUGUGGAGGACUUGUACAAAAACAGAGAGCCUGUUCCAGAAAUGAAGGCCAUCUACUUCAUAUCACCGACCGCUAAGUGUGUGGAGGCCUUUAUUGCCGACUUCAAGCCCAAACCCAAA